rnacentral:rRNA from 1 species
UACGUAGGUGGCAAGCGUUGUUCGGAAUUAUUGGGCGUAAAGGGCGCGUAGGCGGUUUGCUAAGUCAGUUGUGAAAGCCCGGGGCUCAACCCCGGAGGGUCGGCUGAUACUGGUGGACUAGAGUACGGAAGAGGUAGCUGGAAUUCCCGGUGUAGCGGUGAAAUGUGCAGAUAUCAGGAGGAACACCGGUGGCGAAGGCGGGUCUCUGGGCCGAUACUGACGCUGAGGAGCGAAAGCGUGGGGAGCGAACAGG